AUUGAACGCUGGCGGCAGGCUUAACACAUGCAAGUCGAGCGGGGGAAGGUAGCUUGCUACCGGACCUAGCGGCGGACGGUUGAGUAAUGCUUAGGAAUCUGCCUAUUAGUGGGGGACAACAUCUCGAAAGGGAUGCUAAUACCGCAUACGUCCUAUGGGAGAAAGCAGGGGAUCUUCGGACCUGGCGCUAAUAGAUGAGCCUAAGUCGGAUUAGCUAGUUGGUGGGGUAAAGGCCUACCAAGGCGACGAUCUGUAGCGGGCCUGAGAGGAUGAUCCGCCACACUGGGACUGAGACGCGGCCCAGACUCCUACGGGAGGCAGCAGUGGGGAAUAUUGGACAAUGGGGGGAACCCUGAUCCAGCCAUGCCGCGUGUGUGAAGAAGGCCUUAUGGUUGUAAAGCACUUUAAGCGAGGAGGAGGCUACUUUAGUUAAUACCUAGAGAUAGUGGACGUUACUCGCAGAAUAAGCACCGGCUAACUCUGUGCCAGCCGCCGCCGUAA
rnacentral:rRNA from 1 species